rnacentral:rRNA from 1 species
AUACGUAGGGGGCAAGCGUUGUCCGGAAUUACUGGGCGUAAAGAGCUCGUAGGCGGCUCAGCAAGUCGGUCGUGAAAGCCCGAGGCUCAACCUCGGAACUGCGGUCGAUACUGCUGUGGCUAGAGUCCGGUAGAGGAGAGUGGAAUUCCCGGUGUAGCGGUGGAAUGCGCAGAUAUCGGGAGGAACACCAGUGGCGAAGGCGGCUCUCUGGGCCGGUACUGACGCUGAGGAGCGAAAGCGUGGGGAGCAAACAGGAUUAGAAACUCUAGUAGUCC